GACGAACGCUGGCGGCGUGCUUAACACAUGCAAGUCGAACGGAAAGGCCCUGCUUUUGUGGGGUGCUCGAGUGGCGAACGGGUGAGUAACACGCGAGUAACCUGCCCUUGACUUUGGGAUAACUUCACGAAACUGGGGCUAAUACCGGAUAGGAGCUCCUGCUGCAUGGUGGGGGUUGGAAAGUUUCGGCGGUUGGGGAUGGACUCGCGGCUUAUCAGCUUGUUGGUGGGGUAGUGGCAUACCAAGGCUUUGACGGGUAGCCGGCCUGAGAGCGUGACCGGCCACAUUGGGACUGAGAUACGGCGCAGACGCCUACGGGAGGCAGCAGGGGGGAAUAUUGCACAAUGGGCGGAAGCCUGAUGCAGAAACGCCGCGUGCGGGAAGACGGCCUUCGGGUUGUAAACAGCUUUCGCCUGAGACGAAGCGUGAGUGACGGUAAUGAGUAAAGAAGCACCGGCUAACUACGUG
rnacentral:rRNA from 1 species